rnacentral:piRNA from 1 species
UAGGCUCUAGGUAAAUGAAUUUAAUCACUUG